AGCGCGAAGAAGGCGGCCAUGAGUCCGUUGCAGGCCCGCCACAGCGCUGGCGCCAUGGCUCGGAGAACACGGCGCGGGGCGGUGAGUCCUGCCACGUGCGGGGCGGUGUGGUCAGCUACUCCGGAAUGUGGCAGGGGUGGAGGCCGGACAAAGUCUGAAACAGGGUCAUCACCAUAGCACCUGACAUACCUGGAUAUAAACAAUAUCCAAGGCCCCUAAGGUAAAAGCCUUGCUCCAAGUCCCCUUCUGACUUCUAGUCACUUCCGUGCUGCCAGCAGAGGGCGUGGGAUUCUUCCUGAGGAGCCUGAGUCUCAGCUUUGCCAGGUCCUUGCUGUGUGACCUUGGGCACCUGUGCUCCCUUGACAAAGAGGAAUAAAACCUCUUCAGACUACUCUCCUAUCGAUUCUCUCCUGGAACAUAUGACCACCAUCAAUUAUAGGCAAGAACAUGAACACGGGAGUCCCAAAGACUUGGGUUCAAAUGUCAGCCCCUUCACUCGCUGGCUGUAGGUGUGAGGCCCUGGGUAAGGUCCUUACCUCCC
rnacentral:lncRNA from 10 species